UUAAACGUCUACGGCCAUACCUAGGCGAAAACACCAGUUCCCGUCCGAUCACUGCAGUUAAGCGUCUGAGGGCCUCGUUAGUACUAUGGUUGGAGACAACAUGGGAAUCCGGGGUGCUGUAGGCUUCCUUUUAUUCUUUUUGCUUUUUGUUUGAGCUCAUUUGGGAAUAAUAAUCAUUUACCUUGAUUCGUACUUAUUCAUUUCAAUACCUUUGCACAUAAUAUUAUUGUGUACUAUGAAUGAUAU